rnacentral:rRNA from 1 species
CACGUAGGCGGCCGAUCAAGUCGGGUGUGAAAGCCCCGGGCUCAACCCGGGAAGUGCACUCGAAACUGACCGGCUUGAAUAUGGAAGAGGGUCGCGGAAUUCCCGGUGUAGAGGUGAAAUUCGUAGAUAUCGGGAGGAACACCAGUGGCGAAGGCGGCGACCUGGGCCAAUAUUGACGCUGAGGUGCGAAAGCGUGGGGAGCAAACA